rnacentral:rRNA from 1 species
UACGUAGGUGGCAAGCGUUGUCCGGCAUUAUUGGGCGUAAAGCGCGCGCAGGCGGCUUCUUAAGUCUGAUGUGAAAGCCCACGGCUCAACCGUGGAGGGUCAUUGGAAACUGGGGAGCUUGAGUGCAGAAGAGGAGAGUGGAAUUCCAUGUGUAGCGGUGAAAUGGGUAGAUAUAUGGAGGAACACCAGUGGAGAAGGCGGCUCUCUGGGCUGUAACUGACGCUGAGGCGCGAAAGCGUGGGGAGCAAACAGG